rnacentral:rRNA from 1 species
UACGUAGGGUGCGAGCGUUGUCCGGAAUCAUUGGGCGUAAAGAGCGUGUAGGCGGCUUGUUAAGUCUUGCGUGAAAUCUCGGGGCUCAACCCCGAGCGGUCGUGAGAAACUGGCAGGCUAGAGUGCGGGAGAGGAGAGUGGAAUUCCUGGUGUAGCGGUGAAGUGCGCAGAUAUCAGGAAGAACACCCGUGGCGAAGGCGGCUCUCUGGAACGCAACUGACGCUGAGACGCGAAAGCGUGGGGAGCAAACAGG